rnacentral:lncRNA from 1 species
AAUCAUUAGAGAAAUGCAAAUUAAAACAACAUGUUAUUUCACCCCAGUUAAAAUGGCUUGUAUUAAGAAAACAGAUAAUAACAGAUGCUAGUGAGGAUGUGGAGAAAAGAGAACCCUCAUACACUGUUGGUAGAAAUGUAAACUAGUACAACCACUAUGAAGAACAGUAUGGAAGUUCUUCAAAAAACUAAAAAUAGAAUUACCAUAUGAUCCAGCAAUUCCACUACUGAAUAUGUAUCCAAAAGAAAGGAAAUCCGUAUAUCAAAAAGAUAUCUGCACUCCCAUGUUUAUUGCAGCAUUGUUCACAAUAGCCAAGAUAUGGAAUUAACCUAAGUGCCCAUCAAUGGGUGAAUGGAUAAAGUGUGGUGGAUGGAAAGCCGAUUUCCAGUCUUUAUGAUAACGCCGAUGUUCCACUUGGGAAAGAUACUGUACAACAAUGAAAGUAGCCCUUUCUUUUGUCUUUCAAAGAAUGUAUUUUUAACAAACAGCCUCUGUGUGAUCCUUUUGACCACACAAUUUGUAGAGUUAACGCUGAAAUUUUCAUUAGCAACAAUGAAAGCACACACAGGCACAAUAUUAAUAUAGAUUAAUAUCAGCCUAUUUUGGUCAGAAAGGCUCAUUUAAAUGUUUAAGAGACAGAAGUCCCAAAUUGUAGUAAUUUCUUCCACUAGCAGGAGGAAGCUCAGAAUUAGUUUUUCUACAACACUAGAGGAAUACUACUCAAAAAUAAAAAGGAAUUAACCAUUGAUACAUGCAACAACACAGAUGAAUCUCAAAGUAAUUGUGCUGAAAGAAACCAGACCCAGAAAAAGAUAAAUUCUAUAUGAUCUCAUUUAUAUAAGACUCUAGGAAAUGCAAACUAAUCUACACAUACAGAAAACUGAGGGCAGGUACUGAGAAGGGUAGGAGGGGGGCGUUACAGAGAGGCAUGAGGAAACUUUUUGGGGUGAUAGAUAUGUUUACUACUUUGAUUGUAAGGAUGAGGUCGCAACUCUGUGCGUGUCAGUGGUAUAUUUUAAUAUGAACGGCUUAUUUUAUGUAAAUUCUACCCCUAUAAAGCUGUUUUUUUUAAAAAAAAAAACUUCUCUUUGAGAGACAUCACCUUUGUCUUUUAAACCAUCUAAUGUUGAAUCUAAAAGUUCAGUGUAAAGUUUAAUAAAAUCAGAGUGUGUAUGUGUCUUAAUUUCCAGGACAUAUAAUCAUAGUGAUUAAGCCAAAAGUGCUUAUAUGAUUACCUAUAAACUAUCAUAGUUAAAUGACUAAAUACCCUGCAUAAGGUAAAAUGAUUAUUUUAUUCCUAUAGAUUGAAAUUGCCCAACUUUUUAUUAGAGAAUAAUAGAUUAGAGGGCAUGUUGGCUCAUACCUGUAAGCCCAAUGCUUUGGGAGGCUGAAGCGGGAGGAUCCCUUGAGGCCAGGAGUUGAAGAUCAGCUUGGGCAACAUAGCAAGACCACAUCUCUACAAAAAAA